rnacentral:rRNA from 1 species
GAGUUCUCGUUGAUGAUCGGUGCUUGCACCGAGAUUCAACAUGGAACGAGUGGCGGACGGGUGAGUAACACGUGGGUAACCUGCCCUUAAGUGGGGGAUAACAUUUGGAAACAGAUGCUAAUACCGCAUAGAUCCAAGAACCGCAUGGUUCUUGGCUGUAAGAUGGCGUAAGCUAUCGCUUUUGGAUGGACCCGCGGCGUAUUAGCUAGUUGGUGAGGUAAUGGCUCACCAAGGCGAUGAUACGUAGCCGAACUGAGAGGUUGAUCGGCCACAUUGGGACUGAGACACGGCCCAAACUCCUACGGGAGGCAGCAGUAGGGAAUCUUCCACAAUGGACGCAAGUCUGAUGGAGCAACGCCGCGUGAGUGAAGAAGGCUUUCGGGUCGUAAAACUCUGUUGUUGGAGAAGAAUGGUCGGCAGAGUAACUGUUGUCGGCGUGACGGUAUCCAACCAGAAAGCCACGGCUAACUACGUGCCAGCAGCCGCGGUAAUACGUAGGUGGCAAGCGUUAUCCGGAUUUAUUGGGCGUAAAGCGAGCGCAGGCGGUUUUUUAAGUCUGAUGUGAAAGCCCUCGGCUUAACCGAGGAAGCGCAUCGGAAACUGGGAAACUUGAGUGCAGAAGAGGACAGUGGAACUCCAUGUGUAGCGGUGAAAUGCGUAGAUAUAUGGAAGAACACCAGUGGCGAAGGCGGCUGUCUGGUCUGUAACUGACGCUGAGGCUCGAAAGCAUGGGUAGCGAACAGGAUUAGAUACCCUGGUAGUCCAUGCCGUAAACGAUGAAUGCUAGGUGUUGGAGGGUUUCCGCCCUUCAGUGCCGCAGCUAACGCAUUAAGCAUUCCGCCUGGGGAGUACGACCGCAAGGUUGAAACUCAAAGGAAUUGAC